GAACGCUAGCGGCAGGCUUAAUACAUGCAAGGCGAAGGGGCAGCAAUGUCACUGUCGUACGGGUGCGUAACGCGUAUGCAACCUACCUAUCACAGGGGAAUAGCCUUUGGAAACAGGGGAUUAAUACCGCAUAAAGCAGGGACACCGCAUGGUGAUAUUGCUAAAGAUUUAUCGGUGAUAGAUGGGCAUGCGUCUGAUUAGUUAGUUGGCAGGGUAACGGCCUACCAAGACGAUGAUCAGUAGGGGGCGUCAGAGCGUGGUCCCCCACACUGGCACUGAGAUACGGGCCAGACUCCUACGGGAGGCAGCAGUAGGGAAUAUUGGGCAAUGGAGGCAACUCUGACCCAGCCAUGCCGCGUGCAGGAAGACGGUCCUCUGGAUUGUAAACUGCUUUUGAAUGGGAAGAAUGUGUGGCUUGCGAGCUAUAAUGACGGUACCAUUAGAAUAAGCCACGGCUAACUACGUG
rnacentral:rRNA from 1 species